UUGAUUUAUUCAAUAUUGACUCGGACGCAUGGAUGCAGGGUUGAACGGUCCACCGGGGGCCCCCGCCGUGAGGCCGGGUCGCCCCCGAGGCAACUGGGUCGGAUAACAUGGGGUUGGAGGUCGGGCCCGGGGGCCCUUCGCUCGGUAAUGAUCCCUCCGCAGGUUCACCUACGGAGA
rnacentral:misc_RNA from 1 species